rnacentral:rRNA from 1 species
AUUGAACGCUGGCGGCAUGCCUUACACACGCAAGUCGAACGGCAGCACGGGAGCAAUCCUGGUGGCGAGUGGCGAACGGGUGAGUAAAGUAUCGGAACGUGCCCAGUCGUGGGGGAUAACGUAGCGAAAGUUACGCUAAUACCGCAUACGAUCUAUGAAUGAAAGCGGGGGAUCGCAAGACCUCGCGCGAUUGGAGCGGCCGAUAACAGAUUAGGUAGUUGGUGGGGUAAAGGCUCACCAAGCCGACGAUCUGUAGCUGGUCUGAGAGGACGACCAGCCACACUGGGACUGAGACACGGCCCAGACUCCUACGGGAGGCAGCAGUGGGGAAUUUUGGACAAUGGGCGAAAGCCUGAUCCAGCCAUGCCGCGUGCAGGAUGAAGGCCUUCGGGUUGUAAACUGCUUUUGUACGGAACGAAAAGGUUUGGCCUAAUAAGCUGAGCUCAUGACGGUACUGUAAGAAUAAGCACCGGCUAACUACGUGCCAGCCGCCGCGGUAA